CCUCCGCUAUCCCAGAAUGCCCCGGAUCCCGGAAGUACCUGGCUUCCCGGAAGUGCCCGACUGGGUGACAGAGCCCAGGCUGGUUGGACAGCUGCCGCUGGAGGGUUGCUGUUCUGGGGCGUGGGUGGCUGCAGGACGUGCGGCUCGGGGUAGGGGUGGGCGCCGGGAGGGAGCUGGGCGGCAGGAUGAUGGAGGAGGAGGAACUGGAGUUCGUGGAGGAGCUGGAAGCCGUGCUGCAGCUCACGCCCGACGUGCAGCUCGCCAUCGAGCAGGUAUUUCCAAGCCAGGAUCCUCUAGAUCGAGCAGAUUUCAAUGCUGUGGAGUAUAUCAACACCCUGUUCCCAACAGAGCAAUCUCUGGCAAACAUCGAUGAAGUUGUGAACAAAAUUAGACUGAAAAUAAGGAGACUGGAUGACAGCAUUCGAACUGUUGUAAGAGGUCAAACAAAUGUGGGGCAGGAUGGCCGGCAAGCACUUGAAGAGGCCCAGAAAGCGAUUCAGCAACUCUUUGGAAAAAUCAAAGACAUCAAGGACAAAGCAGAAAAAUCGGAGCAAAUGGUGAAGGAAAUCACCCGCGACAUCAAGCAGUUAGAUCACGCCAAACGCCACCUGACCACCUCGAUCACGACGCUGAACCACCUGCACAUGCUGGCGGGCGGCGUUGAUUCCCUCGAAGCCAUGACCAGGAGAAGGCAGUAUGGAGAAGUUGCUAAUCUUCUUCAGGGCGUAAUGAAUGUUCUGGAGCACUUCCACAAAUAUAUGGGAAUUCCACAGAUCCGGCAGCUUUCUGAAAGAGUGAAGGCUGCCCAGACCGAGUUAGGACAGCAAAUCCUGGCCGAUUUCGAAGAAGCAUUUCCUUCCCAGGGUACCAAGAGGCCAGGAGGACCCAGCAAUGUCCUACGAGAUGCUUGUCUGGUUGCUAAUAUUUUGGACCCCAGAAUCAAGCAGGAAAUCAUCAAAAAGUUUAUUAAACAGCAUCUGUCAGAGUAUCUAGUACUUUUUCAAGAAAACCAAGAUGUUGCCUGGCUGGACAAAAUUGACCGGCGCUAUGCCUGGAUCAAGCGCCAGCUUGUGGACUACGAGGAGAAAUACGGCAGGAUGUUCCCGCGAGAGUGGUACAUGGCGGAGAGGAUUGCGGUAGAAUUUUGCCACGUCACAAGGACAGAACUGGCCAAGAUCAUGCGUACCAGAGCUAAGGAAAUUGAAGUGAAAUUGCUUCUCUUUGCUAUUCAGAGAACGACUAACUUUGAGGGGUUUCUUGCAAAACGCUUCUCCGGGUGUACCCUGACAGAUGGAACUCUGAAAAAACUCGAGUCUCCACUCGCAUCCACCAAUCCCUUCCUAGAAGAUGAGCCAGCACCAGAGAUGGAGGAACUGGCAAUGGAAAAAGGAGACGUAGAGCAACCAAAGAAGCCUAAAGCCCCAGACAAUCCAUUUCACGGCAUUGUUUCCAAGUGUUUUGAGCCUCAUCUCUACGUGUAUAUUGAGUCCCAGGACAAAAACCUUGGGGAGCUGAUAGAUCGGUUCGUGGCCGAUUUCAAAGCCCAGGGGCCACCUAAGCCCAACACGGACGAGGGGGGCGCCGUGCUCCCCAGCUGCGCCGACCUCUUUGUCUACUACAAGAAGUGCAUGGUGCAGUGCUCGCAGCUCAGUACCGGGGAGCCGAUGAUCGCCCUGACCACUAUUUUCCAGAAGUACCUCCGAGAGUAUGCCUGGAAAAUCCUCUCUGGCAACCUGCCCAAAACCACAAGCAGCGGCGGUGGGUUGACCAUCAGCAGCCUCCUCAAGGAAAAGGAGGGCUCAGAAGUGGCCAAGUUCACCCUGGAGGAGCUCUGCCUCAUCUGCAGCAUCCUGAGCACUGCAGAGUACUGCUUGGCCACCACCCAGCAGCUGGAAGAGAAACUCAAGGAGAAGGUCGACAUAAGUCUGACUGAACGAAUCAAUCUGACUGGAGAAAUGGACACAUUCAGCACUGUCAUCUCCAGCAGCAUUCAGCUGUUGGUUCAGGAUCUCGAUGCUGCCUGUGACCCCGCCCUGACAGCCAUGAGCAAGAUGCAGUGGCAGAAUGUGGAGCAUGUUGGUGACCAGAGCCCCUACGUCACCUCUGUCAUUCUUCACAUUAAACAGAACGUCCCCAUCAUCCGUGACAACCUGGCUUCCACGCGGAAAUACUUCACACAGUUCUGCAUUAAAUUUGCAAACUCCUUCAUUCCCAAGUUCAUCACCCACCUCUUCAAGUGCAAGCCAAUUAGCAUGGUGGGAGCAGAACAGCUGCUGCUGGACACCCACUCCCUGAAGAUGGUCCUGCUCGAUCUGCCUUCCAUCGGCUCUCAGGUGGUGAGGAAAGCCCCAGCCAGUUACACAAAGAUCGUGGUGAAAGGCAUGACCCGAGCGGAGAUGAUCCUCAAGGUCGUGAUGGCCCCUCACGAGCCGUUGGUGGUGUUUGUGGACAACUACAUCAAACUCCUGACGGACUGCAACACAGAAACCUUCCAGAAGAUCCUGGACAUGAAGGGGCUGAAAAGGAGCGAGCAGAGCAGCAUGCUGGAUCUCUUCCGCCAGAGGCUCCCCGCGCCGCCCUCAGGGCCCGAAGGCUCCAGCUCUCUGUCCCUCCUGGCUCCAACUCCAGAACAGGAGUCAUCUCGCAUCCGCAAACUGGAGAAACUAAUUAAAAAGAGACUGUAGGAGCGUCCAAGGGGCACUUUUCCCCCAGCCAGUGACAGCCCCCCCCACCAGCACCCAGAUCUCCGGAAGCCCCCCACCUCUCCUGUGCUUCCCCGACUCUCAGAUCAUCAGUCUUGAAACUUGCUGGGGCGUUUGGGUCAUUCACAUGUUUCUCCCAUGUCCUGUCUUAAUUCCUGUCCUAAUCGGAGAAGACGGGUAACAGCCAGAUUAUAAAAAGGCAGUCAAGAUGGUCCCUGAUUCCUGCAGCAGAGGCAGCUGGGGGUGAAGGUUCCGUGUGCUUCACUUGCUGGUCCCGGGCUGCCCCCGACUGGUCCAGUUGUCGCUGACUCUGUAGCCUCACCCCCGCAGUCACACCCUCUGGCAUGUGGUCCUGUUCCUUUCCAUGCUUCUAUCCCAGCACCGUGGGUGAGAAAGCCUGGAACUCACCCCUUCCUCCACAUGCAGCCGUGUGAGGUUCCCUCUGCGGCCGGACCCUUAAGAGAUGUCGUCUGGGCUUGGCUCUAGGGCCCAAGUUAUGAACUGGAAGAUUACAGGUGUGACGGAAGAAAGAGACUUCCUGAUUGCUCGUUAGAGGUGCCCAGGCUGGAGAAAGUUCUGUUUGGAUCAUAACAGGGAAAUGGGAACCACCAUGGACGGGGUGUUUUGACCUCCAAGUUCCGUUCUGGAAUUGAAGCUAACUAACUGUUGCCACGCCUCCCUCUCUUGAAGAACAAAGACCCAGUACCUGGGGCUUUCCCAGGAAAGGGCACCGACUUUCUCAUGCCUCGGGCAGCUCCUCGGUGCAGGUGGAACAGGACCGAAAGCAGACGUCCAAGGACCAAUAAAACAGAACAGGCUAUGGGAAAGAAUUAGCGAGCCCGUGAAGCCCGGGCUCCCCUCUCAGCAUCUGCCCUUCUGCCUGGUGAAGAUGCGCCCAUUCCCUGACAGCACGAAACCAGAAUGUGAUGUUCCUCAGCGAGGUCCCGGCAUGUCCGGCGGUGGUGGAAACCCUCUGUAAAUAGCUCCAAUCACAGCCUGCUUCUCCAUGUGACUGCCAGAGGCCUUCUGUCCUGUGCACACUCACCACUUCGAUAGGGUAGCCAGAAAUCCGUCUGAUGAGAAAAGAAACAUUUCCGUAUACCCCACCCAGAAGAACGCUGCCAGAUGAUUGACCCACCAGGCUCUCUUCUUUCUCGCAUACAUAACCAGGUAAGUAGAGGGAUAUAAAGAAUGUUUGAAACAAAAGCAGUUUUCAGAAUCCAUGAAAGGGGGCGGGGGGGGGUGCGUGUAAUUAACAGGGCAGUGAAGGUCACACAAGAGCCAGCUGUGCGCACGCUCUGUCAGCCACGAGGCCGUGUGAAAUGUGACCUGCUCCUCACCACUCGCCAGGCCUCAGCCCCAAGUGGGUGGCCACAGCGCUUGCUCUGUCCCUGGGCUCACUUGGAAAGGAUGGGCACGUGACGACACAGCCUGCUGCUGGGUGCAGGCCGCAUCUGAAGCAAGCACCGGAAUACGGAGCCUUUGCGUUUUUAGGUCUGCCGCCUGGGAUAUCCAGCUUACUCAAGCGUUUUAAAGACGCUCCAUCCUCUGUUCCCCUUGCCCCAGCAGCUGCUAUUUCCGUAGCAUUUAGGGAUAAACCUGCAGACACUGAGAAAAGAGCUUCCUCCCUCCCCGGUGGUGUUGGCUGGACUGCCUGUUACGGAAAAUGUGGCACAUUUCCUCUGAAUGCAAAUUAGAAGGAUUGCCAAAGGCUGCUUUCCAAAAAACAUGUCUUUAGAAAUGGUGUCUGGUGUCCACAGAACCGAUUUCAACUGGCCAGUCCUGGCAGGGACAAAAUUCUUGCCUGCACUCUUUUUUUUUUUUUUUUUGACCUUCAAUGCCCAGAAAAUGCUAAGCGAGAUUAUCUUGGGACAGGCAGACCUAACAGGGAAGCCAGAAGUUCACCAGCUAUUCGGAUUACUUCACAGUUGCCUUUCAAAGAUGAUUCCCAGGGCCAGUGGAAUCCCUGUAAUCAGCUGAAAAGUACCUGCCUGGCUCUUCCAAUCCCCUCUGGGGAUAUCGAUACAGAGAAUGCUGGGCGAUAAGAGUGAUACAGAGGAAAAGCUGUGUACAUUCUUUGUCCCCUAAGAAUGUUUAUCACUUAAUCUGAGAGCUCUGGUGGCCUCUGCUCAGCAACAAAUAGAAUUUGCAUAAUCGCUGGUGCGAUCCUGCUUGGGGUAAUUCUUCAACACGUGAGAAAUUAAGAACAGCUUCUCAACAUAACUUCCCUUUACUUCUGGGGCCAUGAAAAGCAUUUACCAAGUAGGCUGCAACUUUCAGGAGCACCAGGUGAAGUGGUGGAGAGAAACUCCAGCUUCUGCUUGGUUGCUUUGUGCUGAUGGAAAAGGAAGGCCCUUCUCAAGCAGAGGGGAAGCGCACCACCUGCUAAAGAGACCGCAUUCCACGGAAUUCUUCACUAAAGUCCUGAGAUUGGCCUGGGGCAGCCGCGGAAGCGCUUUAGCAGGCAAAUGGAAAAAUGGCCAGUGUUGUGUAAAGAAAACAUGAGUGCACACACAGAGACACCCCCCUCCCCCAGCCUCAUACCCACUCCCUGCUGCAACCCUGGCACUGCUCUCAACGGAUCCCAAGUGUCGGCCCCUCGGCUGGCUGGCUUGCUCAGUCGUCAGAGAAGGGCGCUAAUGGGCCUUAUGGUCCCCGUGGAUUAAGCCCUUGGCCAGAGUUGCAGCCCAGCUACUGUCUGGCAUGCAAAUAAUACCUGAUUGUGAGCAGGCCCGAGAGAUCCAGGCCAUUCCAUGCUAUUGGGUGGGGAGGGAACUGAGUAUUUACUGCCUCCUGGAUAGUUAAGAGACCUCAUUGGAUCAAAACCCCUGUUAAGUGGGUAGGAUUUUAUGGAUGUGGACCUGGAAGCCUGGGGGGCAAAUGAUGUGCCCAAGGCUAUAUAGCUCGUGUGUGGCAGAGCCAGGAUUGGUGUCAUCCAUGCUCUUUGCACUUCACAAGUGGUUUUCAAAUUUAUGAGACCCAAUUUUACAUGGGACUCUCACUCUACGAAUAGAUAAAAGUAUUUUAUUAAUACAUUUUGUGAGUUCAAGUAUCUUUCAAAGCAAGUCAGUGAGAACACUGAAACUGUUUCAGUUAAAUAGAAAGCAUUGCAAAGCUAAGGUUAUGGGUGGCAGUCGAUAUGUACCAAUGCCAGCAUCCAGUUUAUUUCUGUGUUUUGCUUUGCUUGCAUAGAAUAGAGAAAUCUUGACUUAAUCCAGCUAAGAAUUUGCAAACAGCAUCAGUUUUGUUUUAAACAAGCCCUCCUCCCAAUCCCAGAUACUCUUUGGUUACCCAGAUGUGACAAGGACUCUUUAUCCUGAGGUCUACGUGGACAGAACAGCCCUGACAGUGCAGGUUAACACACCAAGGAUCUGUAAAAUCUUAUAUUUGCACCAAUAACACAUUCGCAUGUUAUGUUAUUACUUUCGAAUGUUCAGUUUUUAGAAUAAGCUUAAAGUAUGCAUCCUUAAAGGGAGGUUAGAAUCAAAGCCUUGUGGAGCUCCUUUGCCCCCUGAAACAUCUCAAGAAUUCCAGGUUCCCCAGAAGCCAGUUUGGAAGCUGCUGUCCUCAUCAGCGGCUGCUGCUCGAGGGGCGGGGGUGUUUGGCGGUGUCACCUUUGUACAGGAGAGAGCAGCUUUUCAUCUGAGGUCCACAUCCCUGAACUGUCACCCAAAUCCUGUCCGAGUCACGCUGGAGGCCACCUUCUGGGUUGAGCCUUGCCGCCUUUAGAAAGAGGACAUCAGAGGGCAAGGACCACCCCCGACCCCCCGACCCUGUGCGAGGCAGCUCUUUUCUAAGAACAAAACUAUGCAACCGGAACUGGGGGAGGGGGCUUGGGCAACAUUUGCAAGGAAGCCCAUCCUUCUCUCAAAAUCCCGACAAGCCCCAAAUCUUAACGCCUGAGGCCUCACACGUCUGUCUGUGUACAUGCAAAGCUUCCCAACCUUUUCAGGACUUGAAGCAUAGAAAUGAUGACAUUUGUGCUCCCUUGGCAUCACGCUGGGGCAAACCAGUUGAAGAGGCUGCCGGGGCCAUAUUCAUGGGCCUGGGGACUGUGGCUGCUUCAGGGGACCGCCCCGCCCCCGGCCAACCGGGCUGAGGGGAUCCACGUGGGCAUUUGCUGUGCACUCCGGCCAUGACCCAGCUCUGUAGUUGGGAAGCUCUGAAUUGGAGCAUCAGCGUUGGGUGGUAUGUGGGUUUAUUUGUUUUUAGAGCUUUGUUCAAACUUCCUCAUUUAUCAGUUGGGAAACUGAGACCUCGAGGGUUCCAGUCGUGAGCUUGCCCUUCACUGUGGCGAGGACUGGCAAAGUCCAAGCCACCUCUGUGUAUCCCACUUGCCACUCACCGCUCCACCCUCCCUGGCUGGCCUUCCCUGGAGUCCCACCCCUCCCUUCCUGCCCCCUCCUCCACUCCCACCAAGUUUCUCAGAGCUCGUCCCCUUUUCCGUUCUGCCUGAAGAAGUGAACCAGGGCUUCCAUGCUUUCUUUGAUCUCCCACCACCCUCCCAGGCCCCCGUGCUACUUCUCUUGUGGCCUUCGUUACCAUUUCCAACAAAAGGUUACAGCCAUCACCUCCAGCCCCUAAGUGCAUUCCCUCUUGUUCAGCAUCCAUCUCAACUACCUUCCAGAAACGUCUCUGGAAGGAUGACCUUCUUGCCAUACUUUCAUCCUCUUUGCACUCUCUGUGGAUUUGGUGAGUCCUCCCUGCCCCUGGGAAUGCUCCCUUCACUCCCUCGAUGCCUUGCUUUCCUGCUCCCUUAACGUCUUGGUCUCCGUCACUGAUGCUCUUUUCCUUUUGAACCUUGACUCUGGUCAAGCCCCAAGGUUUUAGGCCUCCUGUGGUUUUCACUCCAGACUCUUUCAGAGGACUUUUCUGCCCAUCACAGGUAAAAACACCAGCUAUGCCUUCUGAGGUUUCUCAGAUUUUUAGCCCUUGUCCGUCCCCUUCAGCUGACCCCAGUCCGCUUGCAGGUCCCAUCAUCGACUUGGGUGGAGCAUCUCCAGGUACACUCGGCUCCCUUCCUGAAAUUCCCCGUCUCUAAAGGGCACCACCUUCCUUUUCCUAGUUCCUCAGUCUCAAGGCCUUAGAGUAAGGCACCCUUGACAACUCUCUUUGUCAACCAAUAUGGUUAGUUAAUCGUAAAACAUUUUCUUAAUGAUUAUACAAACACCAGUCACAGAAACCAAGAGAAAAAUCUAAGUUGCCCCAGCAAAUCAAGGCUCUCAGUCCCAGUCAGGCCUGGCAGGUAGGGUUUCCUCGUGGGGUAGCCCUUCUCCGUGGUUUCCCAGCCGGGCCCACGGAGUUCCUCUUUGCUCUGAGGGCUUCUGCAAAGAAGCUGGCAUAAGGCUCGCUCCACUGACCUCCUCUCAUGACUGCUAACCCCAAUGAUUUUGAGUGUUUCUGCACUGCUGUUUCUAUUUUCUUCACCUUAUAAAAUAUUGCAAUAAUAAUACUCAUUUUUAAAGUACACAGUAUUCAUGUUAAUAAGUUUAAACAAUAUAGAAAUAUAUCAGAAGUGCUACACUCCUCUUCCAGACAUUCUGUCUUACACUGUGGGGGGAGGGCGCUUUGCAAACAAAAUUAAUAUUAAGCAUAUCUGCAUAUUUUUCUACAGCUAAACAAGAAAUCUUGGAUCUCUUUUCCCUCAGCACACAUAGAGCCACUCAUUCUUUUUAAGGCUACAUGGUGUUUUAUAGUUGAGAUAGACCACCGUUUACUUAGCCAGUCUCCUCUCAGUAUACAAAUAGGUUUCUGUUUUUUGGCAGUAAGAAACACAUCGCCAGUGAAAAUCUUCCUGUAAAUAUCUUUGCUUACUUGUGCCCACCUUUUUGUAGGCUACUCUCCUAAAAUCGUUCAGUUCCCAUUUUAAAAGGUUAAAGGGCACGCACAUUUGAAAUGUUGCUAACUCUCGCCAAAGUGUCCUCUGCAGAGAUUAUGCUGCACACUGCCAUCGACCGUGUGUACGUGUGUACCCUCUUCUCCACAUCCUCACUUGCCCUAGAUGUUCUUUCCUGCUUCUUGACUGCGAGGAUGUAGUUGCAGCUCUAUCUGUAGAGACCCAGUAAGCAGAAGUUCCCCCUUUGGCUUUCACUGCACACAGCCAAAUGUGACCCAACCAGUGCUGUGUCUUGCUGCAAGAAAACUUUCUGAGCAAAAGCCCCGUGGCUUCCCUCAUGGUCAGGGCUCCUAGAGGACAUGCUUUGUCGGUUCGCUCAUGAAAGCAGCGGUCGUCCUUUGUAUUUGUAGAGUUUGAUAUUCAGUUGAGCAUCCCUUCUGUUCUUUAUCUCUGCCCUUUCCCCAGACUCCAUCAGCAGACCGGGCUCCCUAUCAUGCACUGUCUUCUGGCAGUGAUGCUAUGGAGAUAACAGCUUAAAUUCUUAGUUUCUGAACUCCUGUAGAGACUUUGUGAUUCUAUAGUAGAGAAGAAAGUCUUGAAAGCCGCGAGAGUUACAAGAAUUGUUGGAAUGGCGUUUUGCUUUGUUUUUGUCCUUUAUUCUAAAAGUUACCCUUUACAUUUUAAGAGCCAAAAUGCUGGAGGACUUUGCACACAGCCAGCACCAUCAGCAGAGGGACAGUGCAUCUUGACAUAAACAUUUUUUUCCAUAGAAAAAAGAGGUGGCGGGGGAGGGGGAAUUUUGACCAGCAGGUAUCAAUAGAAGAGGAAGAACUAGAGGGGAUAUGACUUGGUUUUGAGGCUGGAAGGUCAUGGAGAAGAAAUCCAGAACCCUACCGCUCUGGGCUGAGCCCCAGUAUAAGCAAAACCCCCAUAAGUUUGAGGGAAACCCUGAUCUAGAAACCAUUGCCUGGCUUCCAGCAAUUAACCUGGGAGACUGCAGUCCCCAUAGAGAAGUGAGGUGUUCAACAAGGCACCUGAGGAGGAGAGAGAGUGUCUGAGAGUGUUGUCCGGCCAGGUGGGCCCAAGGGCGGGCACACCUCACAGAGUCCCUCACACCCCAUCAUGGGGAGGUGAUGGCUUUCAAGCUCCCUGAGCUCCCAGAAGUAAUGAAAGGGCCAGCUCAUUGGAAGGGACUUCAGGCUGGGACAACUAGGGUACAGAUCAAGUGGCAUAUGGACAUGAAAAGCAGAGGGUGGGUCUUCCCUGGUGGCACAGUGGUUAAGAAUCUGCCUGCCAAUGCAGGGGACACAGGUUUGAGCCGUGGUCCUGGAGGAUCCCACAUGCCACGGAACAACUAAACCUGUGAGCCACAACUACUGAGCCUGCGCUCUAGACCCCGUGCUCCGCAACGGAAGAAGCCACCGCAAUGAGAAGCCCGCGCACCGCAACGAGGAGUGGAUCCCCGGUCACCGCAACUAGAGAAAGCCCGUGCGUAGCAACCAAGACCCAAUGCAGCCAAAAAUAAAUUAAAUAAAAAAGCAAAACAAAACAAAAAACGACGUUGUAGAGGCACAAAUGCCAACCAGUGCCAUUAAAAAUAAAAAGCAGAGGGUGGCAUUCCUUGGCCAAGCAGAGCAAAUUUCUCCUCCGUAGAGGCCAGAGAGAUAGGAAGAUGACCACAGACCAGGCACUCACCACCGGCCACCCCAUCCUUGCUGCUGUGAUGUUACGGAAGCCUCCCCAGAUGCCACCCAGGCAAAAGGGAAGGAUGAGAGUAGUAUUUACCCAAGAGCCACUAGUCAUUUUCCAGAAGAACUAUACUGUGAGCAAGACACUUCAGUCUAGAGAGAAACGGGGAGUUUACGAGCUAAACUGAGCUCAGUUUAAAAAAAUAAAAAGAGAAUUAACCUUUUGUAUGCCAGAGUACAGUCACAAAACAAUACCCGUGACAAGUGCAAAAGGAAAAGUAACAGCUUGCUCCAGUGUCCUCGCCAUGGCAUUUCCAGGAGCACAGCUGGACUAAACCAGCCACCCUAACUCUUGCUUCCCUCUGUCACCAGUGCAACAUCUUUGCAGGAUGCACGUCCGGGAAUGGAGCUAAUUGACUCCAGAGGCAAUGAACUUGGGGCACUUGUCAAGUCUGCAAUGCUCCCAGCUCGGUGAAUCUAAGCCAGGGGAGAAGGAUGACCAGAUCUUCAGAGACCUCAUGGCAGAGCUUUGGCCAUCAUCUCCUCCUCCCUUCUUUGCUGCCUGUUCCUUAUUUGCUGCUUUAGGAUCAGCACAGGUGUCACUCCCUCCAGAAAUCCUCCCCCAAUCUUCACCUCCCUCUCUCCACCAGGCUGGUGAGGCUCUCUUUGUGCUCUCACACUCUGUCUUGCACAAAGUAGGCCCUUGGUAGGUGCUGAUUGAAUGAAUGGGUCUAGCAGGAGAGCACACACGAACCCCAAAAUCUCUCACCCAGAGCAGGUUUUGGUAAGAGCUCUCAGCCUUGGGAGGAGAGGUGAAAUGGAUUCUGGGGAACAAGAACAGGGUAUCUGCUGAUAAACAGUCUUUCAAGAGGAACACAAAGCCCAGAUUCCUUAAUGUCCGUGUGUGAUGGAAGGCCCCGGCUGCACUCGUAUUAACUGCUCUUUUUAUUACAAGCGUGGAGAAUAGGUAGGCAUUGUGCCCUGUCUUGGGGUUUGUAAGAUGAUGAUAUCUGACAUUCCAGAAGCUUCUGCUUCCAACACAGCCUGCUAACAGCAGAAGGUCCUUUCUCAGAUGGCAGACAGGCUUGAUGCUAAAAAAGGCAUCCCUGGAAAUAGCAGAGUCUACCUUUCAGUCUUUGAAAAGCAAGGUGUUGAGAUGGGAGUUGGGUGAUAUUUGAUGGGUGUCUGAUGGGGCAGGGGGCCCAGCUGGGACUGAAGUCGAGUAUCCCUGUCAUUCUCAGGUCCAGACGUGCUCUUUGCACGCAGGACCUGGAAGCCUCUUAGAGAAAUCCCAAGAGAACGGCCCAGAAGGGUAAGCCUGGCUCAGGGGAGAGGGAUUUGGAAUUCAAAGGGGUUUUUUGCUUGCUUGUUUUAUUAUUUGUCUCUUGGCCCAGCCCUGCAUGGUUCAAGGUGAAUCCUAGGGCGGGAAGCAGGCAUAAAGGAAGCCGCACUGCAUCAGGACCACCCUGUAAACGCAACCAGAAGGGGCGAGAGGCACUUAGCUGCGGACCACAGCACAGCUCCAGCACCUCCAAGCUCUGUGGCCCUCCCCCCGCACCAGCACCGGCAACGGCACCCGGGGCUUUGGUACCCAUAGCGGUGGCGUGGCUGCAGCCCCUCUCUAAGUGCCUGGUGGAGCUGGUGGUGGUCUCUGCAAGGGCAGCCUGUUGGAGGGCCGCCGUGUGGGUCACUGUCACCCAACUUAGCAGAACCAAAGGCUGGGGCAGUGGGUGCAGGAAAAGGAAAAGAAAAUUAAUGGCAGGCAUCCUCUGCAUAUAACCAGAUUUAUUUAUGAGCAUAUGAGAGGCAGAGACUUCCAGAAAUACUUGUCAUUGGUUGGGGUCAUCCUGCAGAAGUACAAGGCAAGAGUCAAUAAAAUUCCAGUUAACCCCCAGCUGAUGCGACCUGGGAAAACAUGAGACUCAUGGAAUUUUUCAUUGGUACCUCUUCUCUCACCUCAAGUUCCUACCCCACCCCUGGCUAAUUUUCCUCAAAACUGAAAAGCAUUUCUUCAAAGGCAUGUAAAUGUCUUCGGCAAGUCUCAGGAGCUCCCAACAGUACAAAGCUGCAAACCACAGCCGCCUCCCGCUGCGGGGUAUUCUGCUUUGAAUUUGAGGGAGGAGAGGAAUGCACUUAGGGACACCGGCUCCAGGAGGACAGCAGAGCCAAUUGGCCGCCCCCAGGCUCCCACUCUCCACCCUUUCCCACGCAGCCUACAGACCGAAAUCCCCCGAGGGUCCUGGAGGCUGCCUUUGGAGAGUGGCUGUGCAGACUGGCCAACUGUUGCCUGCACACCCUUCUAUCACGCCCUUCAACCAAGGAGCCAAGGGUCUUAACUUCAGUUGCUCAACUAAGGGCUAUUUUUCUGGGCUGCAAGUCCUUGUCUGGUGUGAAUACGCAGAACGGAGCCAGGAGUGCAAGUGUAUUGAUGUCGUUCCAACGAGGCCGUGAGCCCCAGCUCUUUGCAAAAUCCCAUCUGGGUUUUAUUUUGCAGAUGCCACGGCCCUUUUUCUGUGUAACUAGGGAGCGUUUGGGAGAACAGCUCUCAGCUUACACAUAGGAGGCCCCAAGGGUGGAGCCUGUAUUUGGGGUCCUCAGGUUCCCCACACAGGGGUCACUGGCCUGACUCCACCACAAGCUUCAUUCGGUGUCUGGGUGAGCGUCGCCACUGAGGCUGGGCCAGAUCCCACCUCUCCACCUGACCUGGUGGUCUCCCAGGUGAGAGGUCAGAAAAGGAGCCUGGGUGCUUCCCUGGUGGUGCAGUGGUUAAGAAUCUGCCUGCCAGUGCAUGGGACAGGGGUUCAAGCCCUGGUCCAGGAAGAUCCCACAUGCCGCAGAGCAGCUAAGCCCAUGCGCCACGACUACUGAGCCUGCGCUCUAGAGCCUGCAAGCCACAACUACUGAGCCCGUGUGCCACAACUACUGAAGCCCGCGUGCUUAGAGCCCGUGCUCCGCAACAAGAGAAGCCACUGCAAUGAGAAGCCCGUGCACCGCAACUGAGAGUAGCCCCUGCUCACUGCAACUAGAGAAAGCCCACGCAUAGCAACAAAGACCCAACCCAGCCAAAAAUAAAUAAAUAAAUUUUACAAAUAAAUAAAUA